rnacentral:rRNA from 1 species
CAGUCGCCGCGGUAAUACGUAGGUGGCAAGCGUUGUCCGGAAUUAUUGGGCGUAAAGGGCUCGCAGGCGGUUUCUUAAGUCUGAUGUGAAAGCCCCCGGCUCAACCGGGGAGGGUCAUUGGAAACUGGGAAACUUGAGUGCAGAAGAGGAGAGUGGAAUUUCACGUGUAGCGGUGAAAUGCGUAGAGAUGUGGAGGAACACCAGUGGCGAAGGCGACUCUCUGGUCUGUAACUGACGCUGAGGAGCGAAAGCGUGGGGAGCGAACAGGAUUAGAUACCCCUGUAGUCCCUGUCUCUUAUAA